CCUGCGGAAGGAUCAUUAUUGGAAUGAAAUCUCUAGCAAGAGGCUGUUGCUAUUGCUAGACACUAGCUAAUGUGCACGCCUUUUGUCUAUUUCU
rnacentral:rRNA from 1 species